rfam:Jaapia argillacea MTCL 33604 unplaced genomic scaffold JAAARscaffold_11, whole genome shotgun sequence.
GCCCGCCUAGCUCAAUUGGCUAGAGCGUCAGACUUUUAAGAAUUAUGGGGGUUUCUACUCCCAUGUUUCCGCCAUCUGAAGGCUGCGAGUUCGACCCUCGCGGUGGGCU